rnacentral:tRNA from 1 species
GGAGAGAUGGCUCAGUGGUUGAGAGCAUUGACUGCUCUUCUAGAGGACCUGGGUUUGAUUCCCAGCCUCCA